GGUGGUGGCUCAGUGGUAGAGUGCUUGCCUUGCAUGCAUGGGGCCCUGGGUUUGGUCCCAGCACAACA
rnacentral:tRNA from 1 species